rnacentral:rRNA from 1 species
UACGGAGGGGGGCUAGCGUUGUUCGGAAUUACUGGGCGUAAAGCGCACGUAGGCGGCUUUGUAAGUUAGAGGUGAAAGCCCGGAGCUCAACUCCGGAAUUGCCUUUUAAGACUGCAUCGCUAGAAUUGUGGAGAGGUGAGUGGAAUUCCGAGUGUAGAGGUGAAAUUCGUAGAUAUUCGGAAGAACACCAGUGGCGAAGGCGACUCACUGGACACAUAUUGACGCUGAGGUGCGAAAGCGUGGGGAGCAAACAGG